rnacentral:miRNA from 1 species
GGGCCAGAUUCUCAGAUGGUGUAAAUCAGCAUCAUUCUACUGCACUCAGUGGAGUCUGCUGAUUUACACAAGCUGAGGAU